rnacentral:lncRNA from 1 species
GAGUCAACAUUGAAUCGAUAAAUCGAAUGCAUACCCUUACACUCCCAAAAUACCUCAUUAUUGUAAACCCACAAAGAAAAAAAAGAAAAAAAAAAAGGAAGGCUACUUUCUACAAGCCAAGUCUACAGGCCAGCCAAAGGAGAUGUUAGAAUAGGCGGUUAUGUAAUAGAGUUCGUAUCAAUCAAAUUGGUUGAGAAAAGUUUGAGCAAGAUAUUAACCACAGCAAGGCUUAAGGGGUGAAUUCAGGAUUUCAGUUCCAAUUUGAGGAACCAGGCGGAUUUACACCUCAUUCAUCUUCGUUAUGCAUAUGACUCUUUAAUUUUUGGGAAUCUAAUAGGGCACAACUCCUUAUCUCAGAGUUUCUAAUAUUCUUGUUUCUUUAAGCAGUGUCUGAGAUCCAUAUAAACUUUUGCAGAGAGGAUUCUUUACCCCAUGAAUGAUAUCCCCAAUCUACAGGAAGGCACUGGAAAAUUGGGUUGCAACAUUGGCUCUUUCCCAGUUAAAUAUUGUGGCAUUCCUGUGGGUGUGAAGGCAAAAGCCACAGCAAUUUGGGAUGAUAUAUUGAAAAAGUGUGAAAAAAAGUUGUCAUGUCCGAAGAGAAAGUGCUUUUU